rnacentral:lncRNA from 1 species
GGCGGAAGCCACGUCAGACCAAGAGGCACAGCCUUGCCCAAAACACUUCCUCACUGGCUGCUGGUGCCCGCAGUUCCAGUGAAGUGUUCCCCUCCCUGAGUCAAAGGCAAAUUCAGAACAAAACCAUGUCAAGCAUUGUUCAAGCUCACGCAAAUGUGCCUCAAAGACUAGUAGAGAAUUAAUUGAUGGCUCUGCCAAGCUGGACAGAUGACAAUCACUGCUCAUGGAGAAAUCCUCUGAGGACUAACCGCUGCAGGACGCUUCCGCCCACCCUCCGAGCCCCAGCCUAAAUCCUACCCUGAGAGUGCCUGAGAAGGUUCCAGAAUGGGGACUGAUUCAGAGACCAGCAGUCCUGGGAGAGGAAAUAAAGCCCUAGAGAGAGGAGCCCGGCCCUGUCACCAGACAUCAGAAAACGAAAACCCACAGAGACUGCAAAGAGAAGGAAACUAAGGGUCAGAGAGCUUUUCCACUUUCUGGACUUCACAUGGCUGAGGCCCUGAUCACACAGUAAGAACUGAGGACAGGUGGGAGCCCUGACAAAUCCGAACGGUUAAGACACGCGUCAGGGUGGAUGAUCUUCACAGAGGAGUUCAGUCGCUUGAUGUGCACAGUCACGUGGAUACCAGCUACAGAUGGCAGCCUG